CACAAGCGGUGGAUGAUGUGGUUUAAUUCGAUGCAACGCGAAAACCUUACCACCUUUGACAUGUACGGAAUCCUUUAGAGAUAGAGGAGUGCUCGAAAGAGAACCGUAACACAGGUGCUGCAUGGCUGUCGUCAGCUCGUGUCGUGAGAUGUUGGGUUAAGUCCCGCAACGAGCGCAACCCUUAUCUUUAAUUGCCAGCAUUCAGUUGGGCACUUUAAGAGACUGCCGGUGUUAAACCGGAGGAAGGUGGGAUGACGUCAAGUCCUCAUGGCCUUUAUGCUUAGGGCUACACACGUGCUACAAUGGGUGGUACAAAGAGAAGCCAACUCGCGAGAGCGCGCCAAUCUCAAAAAGCCAAUCCUCAGUUCGGAUUGGAGUCUGCAACUCGACUCCAUGAAGUUGGAAUCGCUAGUAAUCGCGGAUCAGCAUGCCGCCGGUGAAUACGCUCCCGGGCCUU
rnacentral:rRNA from 1 species